rnacentral:rRNA from 1 species
UCGAGAAUCUUCCGCAAUGGACGCAAGUCUGACGGAGCGACGCCGCGUGCGGGAUGAAGGCCUUCGGGUUGUAAACCGCUGUCAGUUGGGAGGAAAUGCUAUGGGGUUCUCUCCAUAGUUUGACCGAUCUUCAGAGGAAGUCCGGGCUAAGUUCGUGCCAGCAGCCGCGGUAACACGAACCGGACGAACGUUAUUCGGAAUCACUGGGCUUAAAGAGUCCGUAGGCGGCUAUGUAGGUGAGGUGUGAAAUCCCACGGCUCAACCGUGGAACUGCGCUUCAAACCACAUAGCUUGAGGGAGAUAGAGGUGAGCGGAACUGAUGGUGGAGCGGUGAAAUGCGUUGAUAUCAUCAGGAACACCGGUGGCGAAAGCGGCUCACUGGGUCUCUUCUGACGCUGAGGGACGAAAGCUAGGGGAGCGAACGGGAUUAGAUACCCCCGUAGUCC